rnacentral:rRNA from 1 species
GUGAACGCUGGCGGUAGGCCUAACACAUGCCAGUCGCACGGCAGCACAGUAAGCGCUUGCUCUUACGGGUGGCGAGUGGCGGACGGGUGAGGAAUACAUCGGAAUCUACUUUUUCGUGGGGGAUAACGUAGGGAAACUUACGCUAAUACCGCAUACGACCUACGGGUGAAAGCAGGGGAUCUUCGGACCUUGCGCGAUUGAAUGAGCCGAUGUCGGAUUAGCUAGUUGGCGGGGUAAAGGCCCACCAAGGCGACGAUCCGUAGCUGGUCUGAGAGGAUGAUCAGCCACACUGGAACUGAGACACGGUCCAGACUCCUACGGGAGGCAGCAGUGGGGAAUAUUGGACAAUGGGCGCAAGCCUGAUCCAGCCAUACCGCGUGGGUGAAGAAGGCCUUCGGGUUGUAAAGCCCUUUUGUUGGGAAAGAAAAGCAGCAGGUUAAUACCCCGCUGUUCUGACGGUACCCAAAGAAUAAGCACCGGCUAACUUCGUG